rnacentral:rRNA from 1 species
GAUGAACGCUGGCGGCGUGUCUAAUACAUGCAAGUCGAGCGAACAGACGAGGAGCUUGCUCCUUUGACGUUAGCGGCGGACGGGUGAGUAACACGUGGGUAACCUACCUAUAAGACUGGGAUAACUUCGGGAAACCGGAGCUAAUACCGGAUAAUAUUUCGAACCGCAUGGUUCGAUAGUGAAAGAUGGCUUUGCUAUCACUUAUAGAUGGACCUGCGCCGUAUUAGCUAGUUGGUAAGGUAACGGCUUACCAAGGCAACGAUACGUAGCCGACCUGAGAGGGUGAUCGGCCACACUGGAACUGAGACACGGUCCAGACUCCUACGGGAGGCAGCAGUAGGGAAUCUUCCGCAAUGGGCGAAAGCCUGACGGAGCAACGCCGCGUGAGUGAUGAAGGUCUUCGGAUCGUAAAACUCUGUUAUUAGGGAAGAACAAACGUGUAAGUAACUGUGCACGUCUUGACGGUACCUAAUCAGAAAGCCACGGCUAACUACGUG